rnacentral:rRNA from 1 species
CCUACGGGGGGCAGCAGUGGGGAAUAUUGGACAAUGGGGGCAACCCUGAUCCAGCCAUGCCGCGUGUGUGAAGAAGGCCCUCGGGUUGUAAAGCACUUUCAGUGAGGAAGAACGCCUGGUGGUUAAUACCCAUCAGGAAAGACAUCACUCACAGAAGAAGCACCGGCUAACUCCGUGCCAGCAGCCGCGGUAAUACGGAGGGUGCGAGCGUUAAUCGGAAUUACUGGGCGUAAAGCGCGCGUAGGUGGCUUGAUAAGCCGGUUGUGAAAGCCCCGGGCUCAACCUGGGAACGGCAUCCGGAACUGUCAAGCUAGAGUGCAGGAGAGGAAGGUAGAAUUCCCGGUGUAGCGGUGAAAUGCGUAGAGAUCGGGAGGAAUACCAGUGGCGAAGGUGGCCUUCUGGACUGACACUGACACUGAGGUGCGAAAGCGUGGGUAGCAAACAGGAUUAGAUACCCCAGUAGUC